rnacentral:rRNA from 1 species
UACGUAGGGUGCGAGCGUUAAUCGGAAUUACUGGGCGUAAAGGGUGCGCAGGCGGCGUCGCAAGUCAGGCGUGAAAUCCCCGGGCUUAACCUGGGAACUGCACUUGAAACUACGAUGCUCGAGUAUGGCAGAGGGAGGUGGAAUUCCACGUGUAGCGGUGAAAUGCGUAGAGAUGUGGAGGAACACCGAUGGCGAAGGCAGCCUCCUGGGCCAAUACUGACGCUCAUGCACGAAAGCGUGGGGAGCAAACAGG